CCUGGCAACGGGCCCUGGGAGCACUGGGUCCUCGGGGCUUUCUCCAGCUCCUCCUGGUCCCCUGGGUCUUUGGUGGCCUCUGCUCAGCAACCUGAGCUGAGCCCCAGCCCGAGAGGGGACAGGUCCCUGAGGGAAGGGACUGGAAAGUGAGACUCAUGUUCUGCAAAUGUGGUAUCCAAAGGUCAGGCCAUAUCUGUAUCUUGGGUGAUAAGGAAGUCUGCUUUAAAGACCAGACACUCGAGGACCCAGUGUUUGGAGGUAAGGAAGUGUCAUAAAACUGGAAAGUGCUGUCUUCCCUCCUUCCUUGUCUUUUUACUUGAGCAAACUCAUUUCAAAGGUGGGAUUACACGGGACAACUAGUGGGCCUUGAGCCCAAUGGUAGCUGCUACUAAUGUAGCCACUGUCACAUCCUCCAAGGCCAGCUUUGCCCUGCAAAGAGUGUGCAGGGGGACAGGCCUUCCUCCUCUCCCUCCUCUGGGCUUACAGAGCCUAAAUGUGCAUAUUCUCCCCAGUUAGAGAAGACAGUGUGGAGGCUGGAGAAAGGAAGAGUAGCCACCCUCUCUCUUCCUCUCCCACACAGUGGGCGCUUAUUCAUUCAACAAACACCACUGCAAUCAGUUUGUGUCCCAGAUGCCAAAGUGGGGGCCACAUUCGCCAGCUGUGACUCAUAGCCAAGGAGGUCACUGGCAAGUCACCAGGUCACCAGCCACCUUUCCUGGAGAAUCCAAGAUGCAGCAAGGAGAACGGACACCUUGAUCCUCACUGCUACCAUGAAGAUGCUCUGGGAGUGAUGAAACACACACCUCAGGCCCUACCCUGAG
rnacentral:lncRNA from 1 species